rnacentral:rRNA from 1 species
AGCUCCAAUCGCGUAUAUUAAAGUUGUUGCAGUUAAAAAGCUCGUAGUUGGAUCUCGGGUUGUCGGCAGGGGUUCUGGUCACAUGGCCUGUCUACUCUUGCCGAUACCUAACCGGUGGGUGUGGGCUGAGGCUCUUCACGGGGUCUUGGUUUCCUUGGCAGUGGGUGCCCUUAGCUGGGUCGCCUACUACCCCCACCCGAUUUACUUUGAAAAAAUUAGAGUGUUCAAGGCAGGCCUUCACGCCUGAAUAAUGGUGCAUGGAAUAAUAGAAUAGGAUCUCGGUUCUAUUUUGUUGGUUUUCGGAACUAGAGAUAAUGAUUAAGAGGGACAGACGGGGGCAUUCGUAUUGCGGUGUUAGAGGUGAAAUUCUUGGAUCGCCGCAAGACGAACUACUGCGAAAGCAUUUGCCAAGAAUGUUUUCA